rnacentral:rRNA from 1 species
UACGGGGGGUGCUAGCGUUAUUCGGAAUCAUUGGGCGUAAAGGGCGCGUAGGCGGUCGCUUAAGUCAGAUGUGAAAGCCCUCGGCUUAACCGAGGAAGUGCAUUUGAUACUAAGUGACUUGAGUAUGGGAGAGGGAAGCGGAAUUCCUGGUGUAGCGGUGAAAUGUGUAGAUAUCAGGAGGAACACCGGUGGCGAAGGCGGCUUCCUGGACCAAUACUGACGCUGAGGCGCGAAGACGUGGGGAGCAAACAGG